UACGUAGGGUGCGAGCGUUAAUCGGAAUUACUGGGCGUAAAGCGUGCGCAGGCGGUUCGUUAAGUUCGAUGUGAAAGCCCCGGGCUCAACCUGGGAACUGCAUUGGAAACUGGCGAGCUUGAGUGAUGGCAGAGGGGGGGUGGAAUUCCGCGUGUAGUGGUGAAAUGCGUAGAGAUCGGCAGGGAACACCCAGGGGGAAACCAGUCGACUGGGCAUCGUACUGACGCUGAGGUGCGAGAGCGUGGGAGCGAACCGG
rnacentral:rRNA from 1 species